CUCCUCUUUGAACCUCAAAGGUAAAAAUAGUUAGAGAUCUCUGACUUGAUUCAAGUGUCUUUCAGAUGGGAAAAGCUUUCAAUUGCUUCCAGCCUGGGGCCAGAGCAGUACCAGUGACCAUGAAAUGGAAGGCUCUGCAUCCUGUAUUAACCAGUCACAGCAGUCUUGUUCUCUCUUCUUUGCCUCGCCUUGCCUUUGCUUUUUUCAUCCUCUAAUGAAGCACAAGUAUCCGGAAGGAAUGCAUGCUAGGGGUGACAGGGAAAUGUCCUUCUGAUCUCUCCUCUUGAAGGAAGAUUUGGAACAUUUUAAUAAAGUGGAUUAAGAACUUGGACACAAAAAAUAACCUGUUUCCCCAUGAUGGGUGCUUUAAUCUUCUCCCUGAGCUGCUGACAAAAGCUUUCCUUAAAGAAGCCUCCUGAGCACAAAAGGGAGAAUAAAAGAAUGGGAGAAUAGACAAAGAGCUGCAAGAUGUUUAAAGGCACCCCCAAAAAAUGAAGCUGCUUGGGUGCUAAUUGUAUUCACUAUUCCCAGAGCCUGUUUUCCUCUUACACUUCCGAUUUUGGAUCAAUGCUAGAGACUGCAAAACUAACCCAAGGAAGGAAAAAGCCUUUGAUUAGACAAUCUGAGUGAUAAAGAAACGUAUUGAACAGAAAGCACUGUCAAUGAGCUACUCAAUGCAACAAUUAGAAGGUGAAACUUUUUCUUUCCCUUUCUAAGCAAGACACACCGAUGCUCUGCUGAAAGGAGGUGGGUGGGAGGAAUUUUUCUUGUUUUGGUGCCCAAUCCAAUUGUCUCCUGGACCUUUUUCAUUCACAUCACCCAAUGCAGACUAUCUGACAUUUGAAGGGACACUCCUGGUGUUUCCAGUAACAAGCUUUCUGUGACAAUAAAUGAAUAAAGAGGUGAAGAAAAAUGUUAUCUGUGCAGCUGUCCCUGGAAUGUUUCUGUUUGAAGAGUCUUUCCAACACUGAUGGUCAUACAGCUGAAGUUUUGCUCUGAUGGGGAAUCCCACUGUUCCAUGAGCAUGACGUGAGAAUAAAACCUGAGUUGGUUGGUUCAAAGUGCCAAUAUGCCUGGACUGUACCUACUCCAAUCCAGGACAGACCCUGAUCUGCUUUUGCUGUGGUUCUGCAGAGGCAAAAGAUACCACCCUAGGCUCUCUUGAAACAUAGGUUGGGAAAACGAGACACCCAAGGCAACCUGGCCUCAGUGACAGUGCCUCUGGACAUCAAGGGGGAGCUCAGGAACAAAUUUCUGCAAGGAACUUUCUACAACUU